GCGCGAAAACUUUACAAUGCGGGAAGCCGUGAUAAGGGGGACACCGAGUGCCAGCAUCAUAUGCUGGCUGUCCAGAUGUGUAAAAUACAUCUGUUAGCAAGGGCCGGGCAAGACCGGUGCCAGCCGCCGCGGUAACACCGGCGGCCCGAGUGGUGAUCGUGAUUAUUGGGUCUAAAGGGUCCGUAGCCGGUUUGGUCAGUCCUCCGGGAAAUCUGAUAGCUCAACUAUUAGGCUUUCGGGGGAUACUGCCAGACUUGGAACCGGGAGAGGUAAGAGGUACUACAGGGGUAGGAGUGAAAUCUUGUAAUCCCUGUGGGACCACCUGUGGCGAAGGCGUCUUACCAGAACGGGUUCGACGGUGAGGGACGAAAGCUGGGGGCACGAACCGGAUUAGAUACCCGGGUAGUCCCAGCCGUAAACGAUGUUCGCUAGGUGUCAGACAUGGCGCGACCGUGUCUGGUGCCGCAGGGAAGCCGUGAAGCGAGCCACCUGGGAAGUACGGCCGCAAGGCUGAAACUUAAAGGAAUUGGCGGGGGAGCACAACAACGGGUGGAGCCUGCGGUUU
rnacentral:rRNA from 1 species